ACUGAUGUAUACUAUGUUUUCAAGAAGUUUGACCAUAAAGGAAAACAGACAUGGAAGCCACUUGAAGGGAAAAGGAUGUCAGGAAGGUACCUGUAAACUUGGGAUAAACAUCAUGCCAGAUGAGGCUGCAGAUCUUUCAGAAUCUUCUGAAAGAUUCUGUAUUAAUCUAAACCAAGGAAAAUGUGGCCACUUUCAUAGGCAAUCAGUCAAGUUUUCUAGCAGCAAAUUUACCCAUUGA
rnacentral:lncRNA from 1 species